UACGUAGGGCGCAAGCGUUGUCCGGAAUUAUUGGGCGUAAAGAGCUCGUAGGCGGCCUGUUGCGUCCGCUGUGAAAUCCCGGGGCUCAACCCCGGGCCUGCAGUGGAUACGGGCUGGCUAGAGGCAGGCAGGGGAGAACGGAAUUCCUGGUGUAGCGGUGAAAUGCGCAGAUAUCAGGAGGAACACCGGUGGCAAAGGCGGUUCUCUGGGCCUGUACUGACGCUGAGGAGCGAAAGCGUGGGGAGCAAACAGG
rnacentral:rRNA from 1 species